rnacentral:rRNA from 1 species
UUGGGUUAGUGGCGGACGGGUGAGUAACGCGUGGAUAACCUGCCGUAUACAGGGGGAUAACACUUAGAAACAGGUGCUAAUACCGCAUAAGCGCACGGUUCCGCAUGGAACAGUGUGAAAAACUCCGGUGGUAUACGAUGGAUCCGCGUCUGAUUAGCCAGUUGGCGGGGUAACGGCCCACCAAAGCGACGAUCAGUAGCCGGCCUGAGAGGGUGAACGGCCACAUUGGGACUGAGACACGGCCCAAACUCCUACGGGAGGCAGCAG